ACUCCUACGGGAGGCAGCAGUGAGGAAUAUUGGACAAUGGGCGGGAGCCUGAUCCAGCCAUGCCGCGUGCAGGAAGACUGCCCUAUGGGUUGUAAACUGCUUUUAUACGGGAAGAAACACUCCCUCGUGAGGGAAUUUGACGGUACCGUAAGAAUAAGGAUCGGCUAACUCCGUGCCAGCAGCCGCGGUAAUACGGAGGAUCCAAGCGUUAUCCGGAAUCAUUGGGUUUAAAGGUCCGUAGGUGGACGAUUAAGUCAGAGGUGAAAUCUUGCAGCUCAACUGUAAAAUUGCCUUUGAUACUGGUUGUCUUGAGUUAUUAUGAAGUGGUUAGAAUAUGUAGUGUAGCGGUGAAAUGCAUAGAUAUUACAUAGAAUACCAAUUGCGAAGGCAGAUCACUAAUAAUAUACUGACACUGAUGGACGAAAGCGUGGGUAGCGAACAGGAUUAGAUACCCUGGUAGGCUCUGC
rnacentral:rRNA from 1 species